rnacentral:tRNA from 1 species
GGCGCCCCGGGGCGCCCGGGUCACGGCCACGCCGCUCGACACGGCCGGCUACCGGGGCCGGGUCGCCGCCGGCGGACGCCAC